rnacentral:rRNA from 1 species
CCUACGGGUGGCAGCAGCGGGGAAUAUUGGACAAUGGGCGAAAGCCUGAUCCAGCAAUGCCGCGUGUGUGAAGAAGGUCUUCGGAUUGUAAAGCACUUUCGACGGGGACGAUGAUGACGGUACCCGUAGAAGAAGCCCCGGCUAACUUCGUGCCAGCAGCCGCGGUAAUACGAAGGGGGCUAGCGUUGCUCGGAAUGACUGGGCGUAAAGGGCGCGUAGGCGGUUUAUGCAGUCAGAUGUGAAAUCCCCGGGCUUAACCUGGGAACUGCAUUUGAGACGCAUAGACUAGAGGUCGAGAGAGGGUUGUGGAAUUCCCAGUGUAGAGGUGAAAUUCGUAGAUAUUGGGAAGAACACCGGUGGCGAAGGCGGCGACCUGGCUCGAUACUGACCCUGAGGCGCGAACGCGUGGGGAGCAAACAGAAUUAGAAACCGGCGUAGUC